GGUGUUGCUGACCAAGCGUACACGGUGGAUGCCCGCAGUCAGAGGCGAUGAAGGACGUGCUAAUCUGCGAUAAGCGUCGGUAAGGUGAUUGAACCGUUAUAACCGGCGAUUUCCGAAUGGGGAAACCCAGUGUGAUUCGUCACACUAUCAUUAACUGAAUCCAUAGUUACGAGGCGAACCGGGGGAACUGAAACAUCUAAGUACCCCCGAGGAAAAAAGAAAUCAACCGAGAUUCCCAGUAGCGGCGAGAGCGAACGGGGAGCAGCCCAGAGCCUGAAUCAGUGUGUGUGUUAGUGAAGCGUUGGAAAGGCGCGCGAUACAGGGUGACAGCCCUACACAAAAACACAUGCUGUGAGCUCGAUGAGUAGGGCGGACACGUGGUAUCCUGCUCUGAAUAUGGGGACCAUCCUCCAAGGCUAAAUAAUUCUGACUGACCGAUAGUGGUGAACCAGUACCGUGGAGGGAAAGGCGAAAAGAACCCCGGCGAGGGGAGUGAAAAAGAACCUGAAACCGUAGUACGUACAGCAGUGGGGAGCACGCUUAGGCGUGUGACUGCGCACUUUUGUAUACGGGUAACAGGACUUAUAUUCUGUAGCAAGGUUAACCGAAUAGGGGAGCGAAGGGAAACCCGAGUCUUUAACUGGGCGUUAAGUUGCAGGGUAUAGACCAGAAACCCGGUGAUUCAGCCAUGGGCAGGUUGGAAGGUUGGGUAACACUAACUGAGGACCGAACCGACUAAUGUUGAAAAAUUAGCGGAUGACUUGUGGCUGGGGGUGAAAGGCCAAUCAAACCGGGAGAUAGCUGGUUCUCCCCGAAAGCUAUUUAGGUAGCGCUUCGUGAAUUCAUCUCCGGGGUAGAGCACUGUUUCGGGCAAGGGUCAUCCCGACUUACCAACCCGAUGCAAACUGCGAAUACCGAGAAUGUUAUCACGGGAGACACACGGCGGGUGCUAACGUCCGUCGUGAAGAGGGAAACAACCCAGACCGCCAGCUAAGGUCCCAAAGUCAUGGUUAAGUGGGAAACGAUGUGGGAAGGCCCAGACAGCCGUGAUGUUGGCUUAGAAGCAGCCAUCAUUUAAAGAAAGCGUAAUAGCUCACUGGUCGAGUCGGCCUGCGCGGAAGAUGCAACGGGGCUAAACCAUGCACCGAAGCUGCGGCAGCGACGCUUAUGCGCGUUGUUGGGUAGGGGGAGCUUGGUCAAGCCUGUGAAGGUGUGCUGUGAGGCAUGCUGGAGGUAUCAGAAGUGCGAAUGCUGACAUAAGUAACGAUAAAGCGGGUGAAAAGCCCGCUCGCCGGAAGACCAAGGGUUCCGUCCAACGUUAAUCGGGGCAGGGUGAGUCGACCCCAAGGCGAGGCCGAAGGCGUAGCCGAUGGGAAACAGGUUAAUAUUCCUGUACUUGGUGUUACUGCGAAGGGGGACGGAGAAGGCUAUGUUGGCCGGGCGACGGUUGUCCCGGUUUAAGCGUUAGGCUGGUUUUUCCGCAAACCGGAAAAUCAGCUGAGGCUGAUGACGAGGCACUACGGUGCUGAAGCAACAAAAUGCCCUGCUUCCAGAAAAGCCUCUAAGCAUCAGGUAACAUCAAACGUACCCAAACCGACACAGGUGGUCAUCAGGUAGAGAAUACCAAGGCGCUUGAGAGAACCCGUGAAGGAACUAGGCAAAAUGGUGCCGUAACUUCGGGAGAAGGCACGCUGAUAUGUAGGUGAAGUCCCUCGCGGAUGGAGCUGAAAUCAGUCGAAGAUACCAGCUGGCUGCAACUGUUUAUUAAAAACACAGCACUGUGCAAACACGAAAGUGGACGUAUACGGUGUGACGCCUGCCCGGUGCCGGAAGGUUAAUUGAUGGGGUCAGCGCAAGCGAAGUUUUGAUCGAAGCCCCGGUAAACGGCGGCCGUAACUAUAACGGUCCUAAGGUAGCGAAAUUCCUUGUCGGGUAAGUUCCGACCUGCACGAAUGGCGUAAUGAUGGCCGCUGUCUCCACCCGAGACUCAGUGAAAUUGAACUCGUGAAGAUGCAGUGUACCCGCGGCAAGACGGAAAGACCCCGUGAACCUUUUUACUAUAGCUUGACACUGAACAUUGAGCCUUGAUGUGUAGGAUAGGUGGGAGGCUUUUGAAGUGUGGACGCCAGUCUGCAUGGAGCCGACCUUGAAAUACCACCCUUUAAUGUUUGAUGUUCUAACGUUGACCCGUAAUCCAAGGUGGACAGUGUCUGGUGGGUAGUUUGAUCGGGGCGGUCCUCCUAAAGAGUAACGGAGGAGCACGAAGGUUGGCCUAAUCCCCGGUCGGACAUCAGGAGUGUUAGUGCAAUGGCAUAAGCCAGCUUGACUGCGAGCGUGACGGCGCGAGCAGGUGCGAAAGCAGGUCAUAGUGAUCCGGUGGUUCUGAAUGGAAGGGCCAUCGCUCAACGGAUAAAAGGUACCUGGGGAUAACAGGCUGAUACCGCCCAAGAGUUCAUAUCGACGGCGGUGUUUGGCACCUGAUGUCGGCUCAUCACAUCCUGGGCUGAAGGGUCCCAAGGGUAUGGGCUGUUCGCCAUUUAAAGUGGUACGCGAGCUGGGUUUAGAACGUCGUGAGACAGUCGGUCCCUAUUCGCCGUGGGGCGCUGGAGAACUGAGGGGGCUGCCCUGGGUACGAGAGGACCGGAGUGGACGCAUCCACUGGUGUUCGGGUUGUCAUGCCAAUGGCACUGCCCGGUAGCUAAAUGCGGAAGAGAUAAGUGCUGAAAGCAUCUAAGCACGAAACUUGCCCCGAGAUGAGUUCUCCCUGACCCUUUAAGGGUCCUGAAGGAACGUUGAAGACGACGACGUUGAUAGGCCGGGUGUGUAAGCGCAGCGAUGCGUUGAGCUAACCGGUACUAAUGAACCGUGAGGCUUAACCUU
rnacentral:rRNA from 1 species